rnacentral:tRNA from 1 species
GGAGAGGUGCCGGAGCGGUCGAACGGGACGGUCUCGAAAACCGUUGAUCCAGCAAUGGAUCCCAGGGUUCGAAUCCCUGCCUCUCCGCCA